UGACACAAUAUAUAUUUAUUGAUAAAAAAAUAAAAUUUAGUAUACAACUCUUUAACAGGUAUAAAAAAAGCACAGCUGUGUCAUAACUUGUGAAAUCUGUGCUGAAAACAUAGACAUUGAUGGUAUUUGAGUAAUUCCAUAUGUGAAGCUCAACAUUAGCUCGUCAGUUGGUGGUGGACAGUUAUAGUUCCUUCCUGCAGGCUAGGAUGAAUGACUUUUCAGGAAAACCAAUUUCACAAAUCAAAACUUUCCUCUAGAUUUCUCCUACAAUAUUCAUCCAGUUUAGUUCUUUUGUUUUAAUUGGACACGGUCCUGAUUUUUAAUUUUGCAAACCAUUCAGUCUCUUGCUUGCAAAUGGUGCAUGAAAAUAGGAUGGGUAUGGCAGUAGACAAGUCUCUUUAAAGUGGGUUUGUGCCCUGAAAAAAAGUUUUAUAACUUAAGUUUUGUUGAAACUUG
rnacentral:lncRNA from 1 species